UUACCUUCGUGAUUUCCGGUGACGAAAUUAAUUCGGCGGUUAAUCUGAGGAUUAUUGAAGUGAUCAGAUUCACUUCGAACUGAUCCGUGGAAGAGGCAGGAGUGGCCCAAGUUGUUCUCGCGCCGUGGUAGUUACUUAAAGUUCUUAGAUAGAGAGUCGUGUGUGCGUUAGUUACGAUCGGUGUGUUAUCGUGUGUGCUGGUGGUUUAAAUCAGAUUCGUGACCACAUCGCCACGACGCCCGAGACACCACAACGAACCGUCGAGGCCAUUCUUGACCCCACCAUCAGGCUGCGAGGUUUUCCCGGGGCACGCCGGAAGAGGGACGCGAUCGCCAAUCAACGCGCCCUAGGCAGGGCAUCACCGAAGAAGAAGAGAGAAGA